GCGACGCCGCGUGAGGGAUGACGGCCUUCGGGUUGUAAACCUCUUUCAGUAGGGAAGAAGCGUAAGUGACGGUACCUGCAGAAGAAGCGCCGGCUAACUACGUGCCAGCAGCCGCGGUAAUACGUAGGGCGCAAGCGUUAUCCGGAAUUAUUGGGCGUAAAGAGCUCGUAGGCGGUUUGUCGCGUCUGCCGUGAAAGUCCGGGGCUCAACUCCGGAUCUGCGGUGGGUACGGGCAGACUAGAGUGAUGUAGGGGAGACUGGAAUUCCUGGUGUAGCGGUGAAAUGCGCAGAUAUCAGGAGGAACACCGAUGGCGAAGGCAGGUCUCUGGGCAUUAACUGACGCUGAGGAGCGAAAGCAUGGGGAGCGAACAGGAUUAGAUACCCUGGUAGUCCAUGCCGUAAACGUUGGGCACUAGGUGUGGGGGACAUUCCACGUUUUCCGCGCCGUAGCUAACGCAUUAAGUGCCCCGCCUGGGGAGUACGGCCGCAAGGCUAAAACUCAAAGGAAUUGACGGGGGCCCGCACAAGCGGCGGAGCAUGCGGAUUAAUUCGAUGCAACGCGAAGAACCUUACCAAGGCUUGACAUGAACCGGAAACGCCUGGAAACAGGUGCCCCACUUG
rnacentral:rRNA from 1 species